rnacentral:rRNA from 1 species
GACGAACGCUGGCGGCGUGCCUAAUACAUGCAAGUAGAACGCUGAAGGAGGAGCUUGCCUCUCUGGAUGAGUUGCGAACGGGUGAGUAACGCGUAGGUAACCUGCCUGGUAGCGGGGGAUAACUAUUGGAAACGAUAGCUAAUACCGCAUAAUAGUAGAUGUUGCAUGACAUUUGCUUAAAAGGUGCAAUUGCAUCACUACCAGAUGGACCUGCGUUGUAUUAGCUAGUUGGUGGGGUAACGGCUCACCAAGGCGACGAUACAUAGCCGACCUGAGAGGGUGAUCGGCCACACUGGGACUGAGACACGGCCCAGACUCCUACGGGAGGCAGCAGUAGGGAAUCUUCGGCAAUGGACGGAAGUCUGACCGAGCAACGCCGCGUGAGUGAAGAAGGUUGUCGGAUCGUAAAGCUCUGUUGUAAGAGAAGAACGAGUGUGAGAGUGGAAAGUUCACACUGUGACGGUAUCUUACCAGAAAGGGACGGCUAACUACGUG